AUUGAACGCUAGCGGGAUGCUUUACACAUGCAAGUCGAACGAGUGGCGGACGGGUGAGUAAUAUAUGGGAACGUGCCUAGUGGCGGGGGAUAACUACUCGAAAGGGUGGCUAAUACCGCAUACUCUUGGAGGGGCCGAUAUGGGAUUAGCUAGUUGGUGGGGUAAAGGCUCACCAAGGCAACGAUCCCUAGCUGGUUUGAGAGGCUGACCAGCCACACGGGGACUGAGACACGGCCCAGACUCCUACGGGAGGCAGCAGUGGGGAAUUUGGGACAAUGGGGGAAAGCCUGAUCCAGCCAUCCCGCGUGUAUGAGAAGGCCUUCGGGUUGUAAAGUACUUUCAGCAGAGAAGCGGUAUCUGCAGAAGAAGCACCGGCUAACUACGUGCCAGCAGCCGCGGUAAUAC
rnacentral:rRNA from 1 species